UAUUUUUUUCACUUGAGAAUACUUCUGCUUACUGUGAGCACAAGUGCAAAACAAAUACACAAACAAAGCAACAGCCACCAUCUCCAAAUCUUAAUGUUGUGGUUUGAAAAUAUGUAUAUAAAUUCUUUGAUACACCUACUUUCAAAGGGUGGAGCCUAAUGCCCUCCUCUUGAUGGAGGCUAGACUUAGUGACUUACUUCUAACAAAAUAUGGUGAAUGUGAUGGUGUGUGGAUUUUGAGAAUAACUAAAAAAAUCAUUGUGUUUUUUCUCUUGAUCCCUCUUUUGGAUCACUCACUCUGAGGGGAGGCCAGCUGCCAUGCUGUGAAAACACUCAAGCAUUCUCACAGAGUGUUCAAGCGGCAAGGUACAGAGGUGCCCUGGCAAUGGCAAGGAACUGAGGCCUUCGUCCAAAGCCAUCAAAUGAGCCAUACUGGAAGCAAGUGCUCCGGUCCCUGGUGGUCUUGAGAUGACAGCAGCCUCAGUGUCUUGACUGCAACCUCAAGAAAGACCUUGAGCCAAAGCCAUCCAGGACAACAGAUGACAUGAGAUGUCCCUGCUGGGGAGAAAAACUUGAUGAUGCCAUUGGCAAACCAGCUCCUGAGAUUUGUAUCAAGGCCUCUGCAUCUCACAGCUACCUUGUGUCUCCUCUAUUGAAAAGCGACUGGGACUUUCAGACAUUCUACUACCGGCAAAUUCUGAGGAAAUACCUAUUGGUGAGUGCCAAAUAAAGCUCCUUAGGAAGCAUCAGGAGCUCUUUAAAUAAGCUGCUGGAAGCCACUUUUCAUUUCUUUGCUGACAGAGAUGAGUGCCUAUAUCCUGGAAUUAAACUUGGGCCAGAAGGACUUUGUCCCAUCUGCUGGUGUGACAGAAAGGGUCCCAGGAGGGCAUCUGCCCUGAAGUCCCUCCUCCAUGAUGCCAGGCAUCUGAAAUUCCACUUUUAGAGAUGACCCCGAUAGACUCUCAGUCUUUAAAGAUUCACUCAUACUAAUGCAAAUAUUUCUGCGGGCCAUAAAUUAAAGCCUUGGGGCAGUUACCACUCACUUUCCCACUGAGAAAGCCACCCACGAGCUCCAUCAAGAAUGUGCCCAGGCAGACACUUUCAGAGGGGAGGCAUGUGUGGAGAUCCUGGGGUGGAGGAAGGGCACUGAGAGCAGAGAUGACAGUAACCAGACUCCAUCCAUGACCCCCAUGGCCCUCUAGGACCUGGGCCUGCCCACCUGUCCAACCUCAGCUCCCACCAUUCGCAUCUUGGCUUCUUGGCCUUUCUCUUUGUGGACACGCCAUCCUCUUUCCUGCCUUAGGGCAUCUAUGGUGGCUACUUCUGGAAUAUUCUUCUCCAAGACCUUCUUAUGACUGGUUCACCUUAUUAUUAAUGUCUCCAAUAGCUCCAAUAUUCCUGUCUCUGAGAGGCCCCCGUUAAUCACCAGCCUCAAGUCAUCCUUCUUCCAUGUGUACCCCGAUCACUCUCUAUUAUGCUCUCCUGGAUUGCUUUAUUCUUAGCGCUUCCAUGUUGAAAUUAUCUUCUUUAUCUGGUUGACUACUUGGUUAUUUACUGUUUCCUUACUAGCCUUUGUUUUAUUAUGUGACUUUUGUUUUUUAUUAGAAGAUUAUGUUUUGCCUAAUGCUGGACCCUUUAAUCCACAUCCUCUUGGAAUUACCUACCAUUGAUGUGUUAGUCUGUUCUCACAUUGCUAUAGAG